UGUACAGUACAGUAAAAAAUAUAUAUAUAUGUAUAAUGGUUUGUAUAAAAGGUACAAAAUUUGUAUGUUUUUUCUUUUCUUUUUGUUUUUUUACAAUCACACAAAAAGUAGAGCUUGAGGCACACUCAAUGAAAAUAUUAACCAUUAAUUCAUAAGCAUCUUUAGAGAUAAAUGUUUUCAGCAAUUGCUUACACAGGAUUUCUGUAACGAUGACAUCUUUUCUCUAAACUCUAACUCAAAAGCCCAAAACACACUCACAACACACAAAACAUGAUCACACAUCUCUUGCAACAGCAAACACUUCUUUCAAAACUUUAUGAACUCUUCUCAAAAUGGUGUUUUUGCAUCAUAUCUCUACACAUCAAAUCAUUCGCUCUUAACUACACACAGAUGUGACAAAUGUAAAACAUCACUAUCUCGUUUUCAGUGCGCAGUGGAAUGCACAGCCAUUUGUCAUAGCUUUUACACAUACAUGUGCACAAAUACUGUAAAUACACUAUGUAUGCCUAUUACUGUAUAUUUACACUACAAAUAGAAAAUCUGCGGGGAAAUAGCCCUAACUUCUUUUGAUUUCUAAGUCAACAAACAAGUUGGUUUUGAAUGACAGAUCGUAUGUUGAGAAAAAAUCUGACACCACGCUAAUGUGCACUCACAUUUACACAAUAAAUAUGUCCAUCAUGUGACAAAGAAUGUAACAAAUUCAUAAAUACAUUUUGUAUACAUUAUCUAAAAAAAAAAAAAUCAAAAAACAUUUUUUUUCUUUUGCUGAUAAUAAUGACACGAGUGCAAAAAAGGGGGAGUAGCAACUUUUCCCCUUUCAACUGCCACCAAUUAAAGUAAAUAUGGGAAAAAAAUUGCAUAAUAUGAAAUACACACUCCCACCAGCACAAACUCUCCGCCCAUGAGUCUCAAAUGAAAGGAAUAAACUGCCUAUAUAAAGACAGAGACUGUCUAAAUAAAACCACCAGAAAUCGACUGGACCGGCACACAUGAACUCCUGAUACUCAACGAACGCAGACUUUGCUUUGAAAAGGCUCGAGAAAUGUCUGGGAAAAAAUUGAUUCUUCUUGUCGCCGGCUCAAAGGGCUGGGAAAAUUACAAACACCAGGCCAACGUGUGCGGUUUAUAUCAGAUAAUUAAGAAACAUGGAAUUCCUGAUGAGCAGAUCGUGGUGAUGAUGUAUGAUGACAUCGCUUACAAUCGCCAAAACCCAACUGAUGGAGCCAUUGUCAAGUGUAGUUGAUGAUUCAAACGUGUACCUCGGAGUUCCGAAGGACUACACUGGAAAGGAUGUGACCCCACAGAACUUCCUGACUGCUCUUCAAGGGCAUAGGAGUAUAGACAAAAAAGUCAUAAAAAGGUUUGUCUGUUAAGAAGAAAUCUUUCAAUGAUAUCAAUAUGUCAUGUAUUGUUUUAUUAGGGGUUCAAGCGCGUAGGGCUGAAACCCUUUUGUAAUUGUUAACAUUUCCAAGGCUGCCUGAUGGGGGUGCUACAGCAAUGUCAAAAGAAUGAAAACUGUUAGGCGGGUGUCUUAUAUUGUUGGAUUCGCUGGAGAAUUUUUAAAAACCUACUUUUGCAAACUAUUCUUAGGUUUUUUUACCUGACCGGAACCAAACCAUUACUGCAAGAUUCUCGUGAGUCUGACUGUCAAUAGUUGUCAAAAAAAAGGUGAAAUUCCGAUUCACUAGGUGCCACCAAAACAUUCAAAGUUGGUGGAGCAACUUAAUUACUAAAAUGGCUGUAACUUGUGAAUGGAAUGAGAUAUUUUCACCAAACUCAGCACACCUAUGUAAGAGUUCAUUUUUUCCUCGCAUGAAAAAGGACCCGGCAACUGGUCACUUGGUGGCGCUAUAACAUGAAUAAAACAUGAAAACGGCUAUAAUUACUUCACCUUUAGUCCGAGUAACUUGAAAAUCGCCAGGCCAUGUAUUCGUCCAAGGUGCCAUGACUGUCUAUGAGGAAAACAUGUCCUGCAAUCAGCCAAUGAAAUUUGAGCAGGUAUUAGACAAGGUUAACAGAGGCCAAACGGAAUGAAACUGUUUCUUUUGAAAUCCAAAAGAAAUUGGCCAUUGGGGGUUGCCAUCACGUUUUUCACACGAGUAAAGGAUUGUGUACUGUGCGAUUUUCCAUGAGAUUCAUAUUACAUGGUCGAACUCCUCAUUCUGAACAACUUUGCCUCUAGGACUGCCUCCAUCGAAUCAUUCAUUAGAUAAUUUCAAAAAACAACUUUGGCGAACUAGUCCUAGGUUUUUGGCUCAACCUUGAUAACUGUUAAAAAGCUUUAAAAACUAUAUAUUUUCUAUGGUAUAUUGCCUGUAUUUGCUGUAAAUGAGCGGCCUUAAAGCGCUUGAACCCUGAUCAUUGCUGCUCUCAGCUAUAUUUAUUAUUAUAUUAUUACCUUCACUUUUGUGCAGUUAAUUAAGGGCCAACCACUGAAUACGAGGAAGCAGCACAGGUGCUUAGUUACAUUUUUGUAACAUUUGUCAAUGGCUAAAUAUGAAAUUGCAUACUUCUUCCCUACAACAUAGUAGGCAAAAAAUAAGAGUUGGCAAAAAGUAUCCAGAUUACCUACUUUUUCCAGGCGAGAUACUGGCUGUGUCUGAAAUCGUAUAAUCUCUUGAGUUGGUACUUAAGUAAUUACUUUAGUUUUAAAGCACCCCUAUAAUGCCUUUUUUUAUAGGUUCCUAAUAUUGUUUUGGGAGUCUCCUACAACAGGUUUACAUAAAAAAAAAAAAAACACUUUUGUUUUCUAAUUAAAUACAUUUAAUUUCACCUCAGUUCUUAAUAUUUCGUAAACAAUUCAUUAGAAGCAGUUUGAAGAAUCACUCUAAAAUCACCCCUCCUUUCCGUGACCCUACACUGCUCUGAUUGGUCAGAUUGCCCAAUCAUUUGUGAUUUUUGCCAUAACUAAAUGACAGCUAUCAAUUCGCAAGACACUGUAUAAAAUAUAUGGACAGAAAAGAUGGCAUCGAUUUUACCAUAUCAUUUGAGCCUGAGUCGAUCAACCAGAAAAUGAUUUGCAAUCACGACUGGAGCAGGAUCGGUUCUCUAUGGUAAGUGUCACCCUUAGUUUGCGUUAUUUAUAAGACGUUAUAGCAUGGUUAUACUUUAUGUAGGUGCACCUGUGGGAACUAUAUCAGAAUGCCAAGUGAAGCUGAAAACCUCUAAACACAAGAUAAACAUUUAGGCCAGAUGUGUACACAGACUUUUUUGGCCAUAAUAAUUAAAAAAGAAAAAAUGGCUAUAUCAUUGUUUGACAUUACAAGGGGUGUUUACCGUUAACAUAGAGAAUACUUCAACUAGUUAGUGUGGACUAGCAUCUUAACAUACUAUUACAAUACAGAUAGAGCUCCACUCUACUAUAAAUAUAAAACCGCAAAGGAAAAAACAUUUUGUUUUGUUGUUGUAAACUCCCACGUUAGCCGAGCAAAAACGUGAAUAGCUAAUAAUGCAUUACACUCUGUAAACAAAAGUCACGACUUUUGAUUAAUCCAUCCUUGAUUAUGACUCCAAGUAAUAAGACAGACAAGCUGCAUUAAUUGACAAACUUUUAGACAAUAUUGGACCCACAUCUGAAUAGCAGAACUACAGAAACGUGAGUUAGCCAGUUAGCAGGCACACACACUAGGGUACGUAUAUUACACAACAUAACAUACAAAACUACGAAUUUUAAACAAUCGCUAGAAAAUAUAAACAUCAAUUAUUAAUCAUACUUACAGGUUGAGAUUCAGAGGAGCAAGCUGGUCCAAAUAAACUGGUCAUUGAUCCAUAUUUUUUUUUAUUUUAAGCGUUUUGUGAAUCCUGCGUUAAACUCCCCAAGUUUUGAGAAGCAGUCGUCAGUAAAAUGAACACAACAAAAGAUUGUACUGCUGUGCACCGGUCUCGUAUCUCUCACGGAUGAGCUCCAGCAGCAUAAAAGGAGGAACAACGACAGUGAAGGACAAGAGAGGACCAGGCCUGGACUUUGUGUUAUGUUUUAUUAUGUUUGUGCCACCAUUUUACUUUCGUUUUGUUGUUUGUUUAUUUUAUAUUGUUAUUAAAGUCUGUUUGAACGUUCACCAGUUCCCGCCAGUUUAAAGAGCUCUUAAAACAGUCCAGUGUUGGAGAGUCUCUAAUCACAAGUGGUUAUGCAUUCCACAAACGUGGAGCUGAAACAGAGAAAGCUCGACCACCCAUAGACUUUAAAUUAUAUACUGGCAGCUGAAGAAUACAUGACCCAGAGAGAACGGCCUGGAGUGUAGGGGGCAACUAAACUGCAGAGAUAAGCAGGGGCAGUCCCAUGAAUCGCUUUAUAUGUUAAGAUAAGUAUUUUAAAAUCAACUCGUGCUUGUAUAGGAAGCCAAUGCAAGUUAUAAAGUACUGGGGAGAUAUGUUGACGAGCAGUUGUAUUUGUCAAUAGCUGGGCGGCUGAGUUCUGAAUGUAUUGUAAUUUCUUGAUAGACUUGUUUGGGAGGCCGACAUUAAGUGCAUUGCAAUAAUCAAGCCGCAAAGUAAUAAAAGCAUGAAUAAGUCUUUCUGCAUCCGGCAGCGAUAAAGAAUGUCAAAGUCUGGCUGUUAUGUGUGCUGCUGAAGAGAUGAGGCGAGUACGGAAAUCCACAAUUAAUGGGCUUUAUUUACAAACAGGAUACUGAGAGACAGCUUCACACACUUAGUCAAACAAUAACUAACAACAAGAACGGACAGGGAAUGUAGGGAGUGAGUCCAACUUAAAGGGAGUGCUGACGAGGACAACAGGUGCUGGGAAUCCGGAGAGAUGGCGGGAAGACUGAUGAGGGAAGUGCAGACAGGUGUGCGGAACAGGAGGAUUCUGGGAAACGGAGUUCGGGACAGGCGUGGAUGUAACACUGGCGAUAUUUCUUAGAUGGAAGAAUGCAGUUUUCGAUACCAUUUUGAUAUGGGCAUCAAAUAAUAGUUGUGGGUCAAAAAUAACGCCAAGAUUGCGCACCUGAGCAGACGAGGUAACAAAGUCAUUGCCAGUAAUCAAAUUGGAACUAUUAAAUUUACGCAAGGCCGUUGGAGUACUGACAACCAGAACUUCUGUUUUUGUCUCAUUGAACUUAAGAAAAUUAUCAUGCAUCCAAGCUUAUAUCUCAUCCAAGCAGGUCGUAAGAGUUGUGACUGCAAGGUUUGGAUUAGGGUGCAUGCUGACAUAGACCUAGACCUCUGUAACAGUCAUUCUGAUGAUGCCAUGUCUCGCAAAAACAAAGAAAGUCAAGUUUCCCAUUGAGGAUAAUAUCAUGAAGCAGUGCAGCUUUCUUGUUCAUGGACCACACAUUCAAUUGAACGAGUCUAAUUUUAGAAGUUUCAUUCUUAUCACGCUUAUUUCUCAAAGACAUUUGUGGAUAAGUUAGAUUGGACAUACAAAUGACGCAGGAAUUUAAGUGUCCUGAUCCCCGAGAAUAGGAGCAAAGCACAUUUAUACCAGUCAGCGACACAUAUAAACCCCGACGAGAGCCACGAUGUAUAUAACUUGGCCGUCGCCACAGUUGAAGUGCUCGCAGAGCAUUUUGAGUACAAUCACUUGGAGGCAGGUGAUGAUCCAAUGAAAGAAGUACAGAGAAUGAGUACCUUAUACUAGCGUUCCACGGUUUGAAUUCCUGUGCAGACCAAGGUAAUAACAAGUAUCGUGAAAGAAAACAGCAUACUGAUGUCCAAUCCAGUAGAAUCCUUGACUAAUCCCAAGUGGCAGAUAUGAUUCAGUGAUUCACAGGAGAUAAUAGCAACACCAGGCCAGCAGCAAUGUCGCACAUCCACACCAGUCUCAGAUAAACAGGGACAUCGAGGUGCGCACAAAGAUCACUGCAGUAUCAAUAUCCUCAACAACUAUAAUCUUAUUACUAAGCAUAAUACAACAUUUAAGCUAAUGAAUUGUAAUGUAGAGUCCACUGGAGGCGAGUGUGGUAGAACCCAAAUGCAGUUUAAUAAGAAUAAAUCCCAAAUACAAACGUGAACAAAAACAGACAUGACUUGGCAUGAACAGACUUGGCUUGAACACUCACCGACAGCAGGUUACUUUGAUAAUACAUGACAAAGGAACAUGGGGAAGACAAUGGCUAUAAAUACAAGAACUGAUGGAACAUAUGACUAGGACAACCAAUGGGGAAGUGACACAAGGAACAAGAGAACCAAUGACCGCACAGAACUGAAAACCACAUGACUAUAACCAACCAAUGAGAACAUGACACAUAGACUAAGGGAGAACAUGAGGAGCAAGGGAAACAUGACACAAACAAGCAACAUGAAUCAACUACAAAAUAAAAGACAUGAAAUCAAAAACAUGAACACAAAACCAAAACACCCGUGACAUGAAUAUGGGGCCUGCCCAAAUUUUUUUUAUUAAAACUCAACAGGCAUACAUUUUUGUUGAAACAAUAAAGUGCUAUAUGGCACCUCUUAUGUUGCACCAUUUGACAAAGGUGCACCUUUAAAGAUAGGUGCUAUAUAGCACUUAAAGUGAGUCCCCUAUGAUUACAAGCCAAUGAACCACUUUUAGUGCUAUUUAGUACCAUUUUUUGUUUAGAAUUCAUCAUAAUAAUAAUCUAAAUAGUAAAAAGCAAAAAUUAGCAUCACUCAUACAUUUAUAAGUGUAGCUAUAGAUACACAACUGACAACUAAAUGUACAAUUUUAUUUAUUUAUUUUGCUUUUAAUGGUAGUUUAUAAGUGAUCAUCUUAGAAUUGACCAUGUUAUUUUUAGGCGAUAAAAUUAUAAAUUCAAGAUUUUGCAUGUAAAUACAUGGAUAAGGACAUAGGAACUGUUGUGUUUAGUCUGACAACCUGUUGACUUCUAGAUCAUUAAUUCAGUAUGUUUUAUGACAGCUUUAUCCUGCUGAUCUCAUUGGAGCGAUCAAAAAGAUGUAUGAUGAAAACAAAUUUUCAAAGGUAUGUAUUCAGUAAUGUUUACAUAAAAAAUCGUUUGCAGCCGAAAGUCUGAAUGUGACAAUCUUACCCUCUUCCACCUUACAUACUUAACAAAUCCCAAACUUUAAUCUGAAAGGAAAUUCAGUCCUUGUAAUUAUUUUUGCCACUCUUCUAUUUCUAGCAGGUCUAUCUUACCCAAAAGUCACAUCAGUAGGCCUACUGCUUUCACAACAGUUACUGCAAAGCUUUUGAAAGGGGCAAAAACAACCUGUAGUGAUAUAAAACACCUUUCAUAAAGGGAAUGAGUUGCUGUAAUUUUAAAUAUCUGACUAUUUCCUCACCAUGUAUAUGUGCUGCAGAUGGUGAUAUACAUGGACAGCAGUUAUUCUGCAACAAUGUUCAAAGACCUUCCCAAGGAUGUAAAUGCCUUUGCGUUGACUUCAUGUGACAAAAAUACUGAGACCUGUCCCACUAAUUACGACAAUUCCAGGGACGUCUUCCUCUCUGAUAAAUUCUCAUGUACUUGGUUGAAUUACCUUAAUAAGGCUGACUUUGAAACAGAAACAUUCCAUGAGCUGGUACAGAAUAAACAAUCUAAAUAUCUUAAAGAAAAUCCUGGUCCCUGCCCCUGCCAGUUUGGGGACAUGGGAAUCACUAAAUGUUACCUCAAGGAGUUUCUUCAAAACUGAACACCCUACAAGCUGUUCAAACCUUAUUCAAGAAAAAAUCCUGUUGAGGCUCAUGCAGAUGAUAAUAUCUAAAUAUAAUAUUUAUAAUAAUAUGAUAAUAUUUUUUUCUUCUUCUUAUGUUCUUUUCUUCUCAUAUUCUUCUGUUCAACAAGGCUGAAUUUGUAAGGUCAAAAAUAGAGCCUAAAACAGUAAUAUUGUGAAAUAUUGUGGGGGGAAAAAAUACAACUGGGAAAAGGGUUAAAAGUACAGUGACUGUGUGUUGUUUUAUAUAAGUGCAUUUGACAGGUUCAUUGGCUUACUGUGCAUUUAGGGUCUCUAUUUUUGCUCCCCAUUAAAAUUAAACCCAUGGCCUUGGCACUGCUACCAAGAUCAUGAUAUUUUAACUAGUCACAGUAAGUGAAUGUUGUCUGUGAGUUGAGUGACAGCCAUAUAAAGUGCUUCUUAUGGUCCAAGACACAAAUCACCUUAUUUUAGAGCCACCUAGUGUUGAACAGAUAUGUGUCUAUGUGCCUGAGAUAAUGCACACAUGAUUUACAGACUCUAAAUGACACACCCAUACACUAUUAAGGAGAAAAAACAAAGGGGGAAAAAAAACAACGAAAGAACAAUGUGUCACAGCCAUCACUGACAGUAUCCACACCUGACAACAUCUGUGAGUUUAUGACAGAAAAUUGCCUGGUUGUUUUAAGAAAUUUGUGAUGGGGCAAUGAAACAUCAAAAACAAUACUGACCAGUCCUCACUGUAACAGACAAGCUUUUACUUCAGGAAGUAUAGUGGGAAAGAGAAAGGGGGACAGGAUAAGGAAAAGUCCACAAGCUUGGACUUGAACUCGGGUCGCCCAAAGAACAACGGCACAAUAUGUCAGCGUGCUGCCCACAAGCGUAUCGGUGCCAAAUAACCAAAUCCAAUUUGAUAAGUAUUAGAACCUCAUUGUGUAAGAAACAUGGGGGAAACUGAAUCCGACAGCAAACAAUCCAGCUGUCAGAAUCCGUUCCCCCACCCAUAUGAUGAGAGAUGUUGAUGCAGUGAUUCUGAGAGUGGAGAUUAACCAGCAUCAGUUUGAUAAAUAUUAGAACCUCAUUGUGUAAGAAACAUGGGGGAAACUGAAUCCAACAACAAACAAUCCAGCUGUCAGAAUCCGUUCCCCCACCCAUAUGAUGAGAGAUGUUGAUGCAGUGAUUCUGAGAGUGGAGAUUAACCAGCAUCAGUUUGAUAAAUAUUAGAACCUCAUUGUGUGGUUCUAAUAUUCAAGCUUUAAAGGGGUCAUAUAAUGCCAUUUUUGUACAAGUUAAUAUGAUUCUUUAGGGUCAAAAUGAAAAGUUUGUAAUAUACUUUAAUUAAAAAUUCUCAUUAUUAUUGUAAGAAAACACUCAUUUUACCUGGUCAAAACCAGCUGUUUUCAGCAAGCCAUUUCAAUGCAUGUGUCUUUAAAUGAUAAUGAGCUUUGCUCACCCCGCCCCUCUGUUCUGUGGGGCGUUUUGACACAACACACAUGAGCCGUUUCUCAAUAUGUGUUCUUGUCUGUACUUGUGUUCUUGUGGACUUGUGAAAUGUCAUCAGUCGCUGUCCAAGUACUGUUCCAAUUCAAAGUUCGCAUCUAGCCAAGUACAGUUCAAAUCCCCGGAUGUGUUCUUGAUCCGCCCCUUUUAUCGAGGAUGCAUCGAGAGGUGACUUGUGCAGACUUGAGACAGCCAGGUA